UCCCGGCCCUCAAUCCCCGCCGUAACCUUCCCGGCCGUCGCUCUCCCCGCGCUGCCUUUCGGAGCCGUCCGCUUUCUGCCGACGUCGCAACCGGGACCGAACGUCCCCAGCGGUUCUGCCGUCUCAUGCCGUAUUUCCCCGCCCGUCCCGGGCCGGUGGCUGAUUCCCAUCCGCUCCGCGCUCCGGGGGCUGCUGCUUCCCCGCGUCCCGGCGGGCUCUGAGCCAGAGUUGCAGGGCCGGCCGCUAUCUUUAGGUCCGCGUUGCAGCGCGGGGCUGCGCCUUUGGCUCGGCGGUGACCGCCGCCUCGCUGGGGAUUGAUUCACCCGAGGCUUUUGCUGGGGGGAAAUGAAGCGAGCGGCGCUGGGCCGUGGGGGGGCAGCAGGGCCGGUGAUGUGCGCAGGCGGAGGGCAGGGGAUGCUCACAGCCCCUCUGACCUCAGCUUCCCUGCGGGAAGGGGCUGCGUUGAGGCAAGCGAGGUUCUCCCCGGGAGCUCCGCGCAGCCCUCCCAGCCCUGCGGCUCUGAUGAUGGCACUGAUGUGCCCCGCACGCCCUCCUUCUGCACGGUAAUCGGGUUGGCCGUGGGAGUAACUUGCAACCGUGCCAGAGUUUCAGGUGUCACCGGAUUGAGGUUCCCAGCUCUGCUUAAUCCCGUAGCCUCUGCCCCACGCGUGCUGUGGGUCUGCAGCCCCCCCGCGGGGUUCGGAUGGAGGUGUGCAGCCGCUCCCUCUGCCCGCUCCGAUGCGAUCUCCCCGCUCAGCUCUGCAGUCCUUUGCAUUUCACGCUCGGAGCGGGGCACGAUGGGAGCGGAGCGACGGCAAAAAGUUCCUCCGUUCGCUGAGCUGCGUCCCCGGGGCUGUGCUCGAGGGCUUCCCCGCGCUCUGUGCUUUGCUUUGCCUCUCCUUUCAGAGCGGCUCCGGGCCUUCUUGAGAGGGUUUGACAGCGCCGAGCCGCAAAGUGCCGCCUCAUCCGCAGCAGCGGCGCUGUCUGCAGUGCAGCGUCUCGUGGCCCCAUCGCUGGGGGGGUGAGCGAGAGGCAGCCGCCCCGUGGGUGGAGUUGGAGCGUUCAUCGCACGUGUAACGGAGGUUCUGCUCUUCGUUUGCAGCCGUACCCCGGGGAGGAGAGUAGCGGCGUGCUGGUAGUCCUUCUGCUGGAGUACAGCGUCCGUGCUUUGGUGCAGGGCAGCGUUUUGGCUCCGUUCUUUGGGCAGAGGCUCAGAGCUGCGGCAGCUGAAGGUUGGGGUCGGUUUGCGUUUGGCUUUGGCUGGCGAGGCUGAGUCGGGCGGGUGCUGCGGGCACUGCUGAGCCGGGAGCAGCGCGGGGCCGUGGGGACGGCUGCUCUGUGGCAGUCGGGGUGUUGCACCAUUUGACCGUCGGGGCCGUCACCCCGGGUGGGCUCUGUGGGGUCUGCAUGAAGUGGGCUGCGUGCUCCUUUCCACUAGAGGCUGCUGAUGGACAGAGGAUCAGUGUUCCCUGGCUGUGGAUGAGCGAUGGGGUCUGGCGUUCUCAGGGCUGUCCCGCCUGUCUGCUCUCCCGUCAGCCCACAGUAACUCUCUGCACUCUGUUAGGUCUCCAUUAGCGGAUAUAAAGGGGCACUGUGCUGGGGCACUGUGCUGGGGCACUGAUGGCAGCUCCACCCCUCUUCCCUGGGGCUGCCUGUGGCGUUUUCCCAGCUGCUCAGGGCAGGUGCUGGAUGUACCCCCGUGCUGUGUCCUGGAGGUGUGUGCGCUGCUCGCCCCUCCAGCAGCAAAGCCAGGGAUUGGUUACAGGCUGCAGGGAACGGCUCACUGCAUGGGAGGCGCCCAGCAGGGUGGCUCUGCUUGGGGCAGCGGUUUGGUACCUGGUGCUGAGACAGGUGACUAAGGAACUUGCAUUUCCCUGCAGUUCCUGGGAAAGCCUUGUUGGGGGAGCCAGGAGUGAGGUAAGCACUUGGUAGUCCACUGAGCACGUGGUAAGAUUUGGCAUCCUGGUAAGCAGCACAACGAGGAGGAUGCAGUGAUAGCUUUACUGCUCGCCGGGCAG
ensembl:lncRNA